GGGUAGUAAAAGAGCAAAAUUGUCCCGCCCCCGGGGACAUUAAUAUCCCCUGCAUGUCUCUCAACCCCGGGAAAAUAGUUUUGUAUAAUCAUAGAUCAGCAAUAGAAAAUCAAAUUCAUUUAUGUUGUUGUAUUUAAACUUUUCUUGUCAAGAAAACUAAAACAGCAACACAGGAUAUAUAUAUUAACCACCGUCCAAGUCUCCCAUCAUCAGGCAAAUUUAUAAUCAAAACUGACCACUUUCCCCGCUAAACCUCCCGCCCCUCCCCAGUUGGGGGCAGGGAUUUACAUUGACUGGUGCAUAACUAGAUGAUUGCAUGAAAGUUGAUUUACGUAUAAUUAGUUUAUGAAUAAAGUGUUAUUUUCCGCUGGCUGAGGCACGAAAGAAGUGGAAAAUGUUUUCUCACACACUGCUGGGGGCCUGAUGAAAUCAGGAAAGGUGGUGCAGGUUAUUUGAGCAUAUUUUUGUUGUUGCUCAGCGUGGCUUGACAGUAUCCCACCCACCCCAGCCCUUUUAUGUUUAUUAGUAGAGAGUAGAGGAACAGAACGGUUUUGGACUGGGUAUAUGUACUUGUUAUAGUAAUUAUGUAGCGAGCAAUUGUAAUGUAUGGUAGUUUAAUAAAUGUCAACCUUGCGGCUGACGCUGCAGCAGCUCCCAGCGGUGUGUGAGAACUCGCACUUUCAUUGUAGAGGUUAAGAUUUGAGUUCUACUAGCACUAUCUCUGACUGCCUUAGUAUGCAUCUGAUUGGUUAUAAUGGUUGAUCGAAUAUAUCAAAUGCAUUUGAUGGUCCCUUAAUGGUAAUGGUAGUCAAAUCUGAACCUCUAUAAUGUCAAUGAAGAAUGCAUACCGGAAAAGUAUCAAAUUAA